UUCGGAGGGGGCUAGCGUUGUUCGGAAUUACUGGGCGUAAAGCGCACGUAGGCGGCUUUGUAAGUUAGAGGUGAAAGCCCAGGGCUUAACCCUGGAAUUGCCUUUAAGACUGCAUCGCUAGAAUUGUGGAGAGGUAAGUGGAAUUCCGAGUGUAGAGGUGAAAUUCGUAGAUAUUCGGAAGAACACCAGUGGCGAAGGCGACUUACUGGACACAUAUUGACGCUGAGGUGCGAAAGCGUGGGGAGCAAACAGG
rnacentral:rRNA from 1 species